AACGAACGCUGGCGGCAUGCCUAAUACAUGCAAGCCGGACGGCAAGCUGAGUAGCAAUACUUGACCUAGAGUGGCGUAAGGGUGCGUAACACGUAUGCAAUCUGCCCACAGCCGGGAGAUAGCCCUCCGAAAGGAGGAUUAAUAUCCCAUAGGAAGAUGAGAUGGCAUCAUUUUAUUUUAAACUACGGGGCUGUGGAUGAGCAUGCGGUUGAUUAGUUAGUUGGCGGGGUAAAGGCCCACCAAGGCGAUGAUCAAUAGGGGACCUGAGAGGGUGAUCCCCCACACUGGCACUGAGAUACGGGCCAGACUCCUACGGGAGGCAGCAGUAGGGAAUAUGGACAAUGGGUGUAA
rnacentral:rRNA from 1 species